rnacentral:rRNA from 1 species
GUCGGGUGGAUGCCUUGGCAGAACAGUAAGAGGACGUGAGCGGCUACGAAAAGCUGCGGGGAGGAGCAUCUAACCCUGAGAUCCGCAGAUUUCCUUCUCGGGAAAGCAACAAAUAGAUUGUCUAUUCUGCUCCUAUUUUGUUUACAAAGCGGGGUCAAAAUAGACAACCUAUAAUCUACCACUUAGUGAAUUGAAACAUCUACGUAACUAAAGGAAAAGAAAUCAACCGAGAUUCCGUAAGUAGUGGUGAGCGAAAGCGGAUAAGGCCUUUUCUUACCUUUUGCCCGUUUUUUAAAGAAAAAACAUCACAAAAUAGAGAUUAUGUGAAAAGCGUUGAACCCCCCUGGAAAGGGAAGCCAAAGAGGGUGAUAGCCCCGUAAGCGCCUCACGUGGCAAAAGGCAAGAAAAAUUGAGAGUAGGGCGGAACACUGAUUUUGCCUGAACAUAGGGGGACCACCCUCUAAGCCUAAAAAAGCUGUUCUGACCGAUAGUGAACAAGUACCGUGAGGGAAAGGUGAAAUAGAACCCCAACUGGGGAUUGAAAGAGAAACUGAAACCUGACAACUACAAAC